UGGGGCGUCGCCAAGCGGUAAGGCAACGGGUUUUGGUCCCGUCACUGCGAAGGUUCGAAUCCUUCCGUCCC
rnacentral:tRNA from 1 species